GACGAACGCUGGCGGCGCGCUUAACACAUGCAAGUCGAACGGAAAGGCCUGCUUUCCCUUGUGGUUUGCGGGUACUCGAGUGGCUAACGGGUGAGUAACACGUGAGUGAUCUGCCCCCAACUUGGGUAUAAGCCUGGGAAACUGGGUCUAAUUCCCGAUAGGACUGCAGGGUGGUGCCUGUGGUGGAAAACGUUUUUCUAGUGGUUGGGGAUGAGCUCGCGGCCUAUCAGCUUGUUGGUGGGGUAAUGGCCUACCAAGGCGGCGACGGGUAGCCGGCCUGAGAGGGUGGACGGUGGCACUGAGACUGAGAUACGGCCCAGACGCCUACGAGAGGCAGCAGAGGGGAAGAUUGCACAAUGGGCGGAAGCCUGCUGCAGCGACGCAGCGUGGGGGAUGUCGGCCUUCGGGUAGCAAACUCCUUUCGAACGCGAGGAAGCCACCUGGUUGGAAGGGUGGUGACGGUAGUGGUAGAAGAAGCACCGGCUAACUACGUG
rnacentral:rRNA from 1 species